GGCCGCCUGGCGAAAUGGCAUCGCGUCUGACUACGAUUCAAAGUCGCACAUCAGGAGAUUGCAGGUUCGACCCCUGCGGUGGUCA